rnacentral:rRNA from 1 species
GUAAGGAAUAUUGGUCAAUGGAGGGAACUCUGAACCAGCCAUGCCGCGUGCAGGAAGACGGCCCUACGGGUUGUAAACUGCUUUUGCACGGGAAUAACCCUCGCUAUGUAUAGUGAGCUGAAUGUACCGUGAGAAUAAGGAUCGGCUAACUCCGUGCCAGCAGCCGCGGUAAUACGGAGGAUCCGAGCGUUAUCCGGAAUUAUUGGGUUUAAAGGGUGCGUAGGCGGGAUGCUAAGUCAGGGGUGAAAGACGGUGGCUCAACCAUCGCAGUGCCUUUGAUACUGGUGUCCUUGAAUGUAGAUGAGGUAGGCGGAAUGUGGCAAGUAGCGGUGAAAUGCAUAGAUAUGCCACAGAACACCGAUUGCGAAGGCAGCUUACCAAGGUACGAUUGACGCUGAGGCACGAAAGCGUGGGGAUCGAACAGGAUUAGAAACCCUAGUAGUCC